AUCAUUUUAGAUGUUUCCAUAUAAUUCACACAAACUCCUAUUUUGUGACUUCCCUAUAAAAUCAUCUGCUUCCUGCAGCAACAACGCCGUCAUCUCUAUCGAUCUGCUAACGACAAACAUUUGAAGUAAAGGCGAAGAGUUUGAGCUUUGAGGUAUGACUUCUCUAUUCCUUUCGGUGUUUCGAAUCUUUUCUCUUAACUCCUUCCAUUCCAAAUGAUCCUAAUUUAUUUGGGAAAAACGUAAAGAACGUAGAUUAAAGAAAUAGUAUCCGUGAUUGUUGCUUUCUUGUAUCAAAAAAAAAAGUUUAAACCCUAGUAAUUAGAUUUAUGUAUUUGAUUAGAGAGACUCUUAAUUCUAUCCAUCGUUCUAGCUGAGAAGAAUGCGAUUCCCUCUAAAAAAAAGCGAGUGAUGUGAUUUGUAUAUUUGUUUAUGUUGUGGUGGAAUCGGAUCCCCUUUUCAUUUCAAAGUUUGCUUACAAAACCCGCCUCUUUUAGCCUCCAUUUUCACCCAAAUUGAUUUCUAUUUGUUUCUGCAAACUCAGAUUGUGAUGGUGGAUCUAUAUUAAAGUGUUUGGAUCUGAUUGAAUGACAUGGAACAUGAAGGAGAUCUCCCUCUGUUUCUGAAGAUUUGUUUGCUUUUCAUUAACUUUGACAAGGACAAGAUGAGAUCUCAUGGAGAUUAUCUUGUCUCAAUUAUUGGAAUGGGUGUUAUCGGAAUUAUAAUUUUGCCUUUGGAUGUGAGUCUACCAGGUAAAAUCUUUUUUUUUUCAGUUUACUUUGUAACAGAUUAUUAUAUUUUUUGCACAAAUCUACUAGUAUUUGAAAAUUUCUUGGUAUAUUAUCAACUAAGCACAAUGUUUCAUUAUAACAUGUAAACAUUUGCACCUGAAAUAUUCCAGCUGAGGUUUUGAUCAUAAUUUCACCCAAGUUGUAUUAUUAUAUACCCAUCUUAGCAAAAUUAAAUUAUUACUUCAUGAUUAGUCUUGUUCAGUCCAAUUCUUGUACCAAAUGUUGCCUUAAGUUUUUUGGAUUGACGAUGUGUGCCUAGGUGUCAUGAAAAAUCUUUGCAAAUGAGCUUUGAUAUUUGGAUGCCUUUAAUUGAAUAUGUGACAUGACAAGUUAACAUGAUUUCAAUGUCUACAUAUUAUGGUCUACACAAGAGAUACUCCUGGAACGUGUAAUUCUUUUUGUUAACAUUGUUAUAGAUUACUGUAACCCUUUAGUGUAAAUGGUAUUAUUGCUUGAUUAUAGAUUUCCAUUAAAUUCAUUUGCUAACUUGUUGGCUACUAUGCAGGUGCUACCAAAAGUAAGAACAUUUAGCAAUGGUAGAUGUUAAUGUCAUCAUUGAUCUGGUUUCUAACGACACAGUUUAAAGUAAAGAAACACCUAGGCUAUCUCAUUUCGUAGACAUAAUAAAUGAGGAUAUGCAGACCAAAAUGAGAUAAUUGGAUGUUGCAAAACUAGGUGUUGAAGACCACAUGAAUAUGAACAAAUGAAAUUGUCUUAUCAU
rnacentral:lncRNA from 1 species